AGGUACUCUUGUAGAUCUGAAAAACAGCUUUCAUGGGCUAGUCCAGGGGGAAUAACCACCGGGAGCGGGGGUUCUUACCUGAGUGUUAGGAUGCCGGAUGCCCUUGUCUGAGAUUGCAGUGUGACUCUCAUUUCCUCCCAGGGAGCUGCUAGAGAUUAGGACAUGGGUGACAGGAAAGCUAAUUGCCUCACCUUACCAAGUGGCUCUCCAUAAAGAAACACUUACGGCAGACAAGAUCACUUUGGGGAACAAUAGGUCUUUCCCACUUAUCCACACCAUCUCGAGGAAAGGCAAGAAUCUGCUGGGGAACAUGCAUCUAUCCUGCUACCCCUUCCAUCCUCAAGAAGACUCUUACUGGCCCUCAUGAAAGUCCUCCCUUGUUCUUGAUGCAGAGAAGUGUCUGCAGACAUUUAUUCCUGUGGUCUUCUGCUUCCUGCUCACCCUCCGGAACCAGAGUCAGGGGCUAUUCAGACUGGCACAGCCAAUGUGUCCUACUGAGGAGCUCCUUUGCUGCUGUGUUUUGAACCCAUGACCCUCACCCUGAGCACAGCCAGUUGGCCCAGGUAAGGGUGGUGCUGAUGCAAAUGCAGCAUCAAAAGGCUGGCCAAUCACCUCUCACCUACAGAUAUUAGGUUGGUGCAAAAGUAAUUGUGGUUUUUUCAAUUACCACAAGUACUUUUGCACCAGCCUAACACAAUCAGUCCUAAGCCUGAGCAAUUCUACUUCCUAAGUAUUUCUCCCUCUUUUCUGUUCACAUCUCUUCUUUUUUAUUAUUAUUAUUAUACUUUAAGUUUUAGGGUACAUGUGCACAACCUGCAGGUUAGUUACAUAUGUAUACAUGUGCCAUGUUGGUGUGCUGCACCCAUUAACUCGUCAUUUAACAUUAGGUGUAUCUCCUAAUGCUAUCCCUCCCCCCCGUCACCCUACAACAGGCCCCAGUGUGUGAUGUUCCCCUUCCUGUGUCCAUGUGUUCUCAUUGUUCAAUUCCCACCUAUGAGUG
rnacentral:lncRNA from 1 species